GAUGAACGCUGGCGGCGUGCCUAAUACAUGCAAGUCGAGCGAACCACUUCGGUGGUGAGCGGCGAACGGGUGAGUAACACGUAGGUGAUCUGCCCAUCAGACGGGGACAACGAUUGGAAACGAUCGCUAAUACCGGAUAGGACGAAAGUUUAAAGGUGCUUCUGGCACCGCUGAUGGGUGAGCCUGCGGCGCAUUAGCUAGUUGGUAGGGUAAAGGCCUACCAAGGCGACGAUGCGUAGCCGACCUGAGAGGGUGAACGGCCACACUGGGACUGCGACACGGCCCAGACUCCUACGGGAGGCAGCAGUAGGGAAUCUUCGGCAAUGGGCGAAAGCCUGACCGAGCAACGCCGCGUGAAUGAUGAAGGCCUUCGGGUUGUAAAAUUCUGUUAUAAGGGAAGAACGACUUUAGUAGGAAAUGGCUAGAGUGUGACGGUACCUUAUGAGAAAGCCACGGCUAACUACGUGCCAGCCGCCGCCGUAAGAC
rnacentral:rRNA from 1 species